CUCAAAAAAAUGAUUCUUGCCACUAUUUGAAAUUAAGCAAAAAAAUCUAAUAAAACAUAUUUAAAAACUAAUAAAAAUACCUAUUAUUACUCCAAAUUACUUUUAUACAACAUGAAUGAAAUGGAUACAAGACCAACCUGAUCAAAUUACAUAAACUAUACUUAAUUUGUUGCCAUAAGGCGCAAAUGCAAGUGUUGCGCAUGCUCACUGAAGUCUGAGUUCAAAAAACAACUACUGAAGGCGCAAUGGCGAUCUACUGUCUGACUCAGCGAAAAGGAGGAUUUGGAUGAACAGAUGUGGAUGUUUUACAAGAAACCUCAUCAGUGGGACAAUAACUCAAUUAUGAUAUGUGAGUUUUGUGGAAACGUAAAGUGUGUGGAAGAAGCAUCACAGAAGUAUCCAAUAUGUUUAAGUAACUGAAACAUUCUAAGAUUAAACUUGGACAUUUUGAGGAGAGAUUCAGUCAACCUGUUCACAGUAAAUUAAAUAAAAGCGGAAUUAAUGCGGAUAACGACUGUGCCACUUCUGUCAACGUUCAUAGCAGCUGGACAGAUACACUGUUAAUCAAAUGAAAGUUUUCAGCAGCAAAGGAGCUUCUGGACAAAAGAUAUCACACACAUUGCAGUUGCAGACAAGUGCGAAGAUAUACACUUCAAAUGAGACUGUGUCAUAAAGAGUCUGUGUGUGUAUCUCAAUGGGGACAUUACAACACUUCCAGUUCUCCAGAAUUCUUCCAGAAUUCCAGGACUGCAAUCCUGAAGGAGCUGAGGGAGGAAUUUCUGAGACUACUCUGGGCCCUUUUGUGACCCUUAAAGAAAGCGCUGAGGAUGAGCCAGUGGAUGUUGGCGUAGCAACAGAGAGUUUAAAACUACUACAACACUUAGGAGUUUCUCCUUUGGAUGCUGUUUGCUGUUUGGAUUGAUCUACGCAAUCAAGCUAUGCUCCGAGUCUCAAAUUCACUUUUGAAUUCUUCCAGAAGGUACUGAUGAAUUUAGAUUUUAGGACAUCACAUAGAUGUUUCGAUCCACUGGAAGGACUUAGAAACUUUGAAACCUAAGAAACAUUGAAUUGAAGACUAUGAUCGAUGACACUAUGAACCAAUGACACUAACUCAAAUCAAGAGACUACAUCUAAUGCACCUUCUGGCUUCCUCUAACUCUGAUAUUUUUAAAGGGUUAAUUCACCUAAAAAUUACAUUUCUGUCAUUAAUUACUCACCCUCAUGUCGUUCCACACCCGUAAGACCUUUGUUCAUCUUUGGAACACAAAUUAGGUUAUUUUUGAUGAAAUCCGUGAGCUAUCUGACCUCAGAUAGACUGCAACACAACUACCACUUUCAAGGCCCAGAAAGGUAGUAAAGACAUUGUUAAAAUAGUCAAUGUGACUGCAGUGGUUCAACCUUAAUGUUAUGAAGUGACAAGAAUACUAUUUGAGCG